AUAUGUUGGAGAAGUAUACAAGAACCUUACAGAAAUAUGUAGACAAUUAAAUAACAUAUUCUCCACGCAUUUGUUGAUGAUGUUUUUAAUUGUUGUUUGUUAUACUCUUCACGGUAUUAGUUUUGCUUUGCUAUUUUUGGACGACGUUUUCGUAUGGAUCGAAUCAAUUUACUAUGUUUCAAUGUUCCUGGCUAACAUGUCUUUUGUAAUACACUCAUUUGAAUGUAUGAAGAAAACAAGCAGGGAAGUUAUUAGGACAUGUUACUUUUUUGAAGAAGAAUUGAAUAUUGGUAAGCUUAGACAGGAAAUUGGCUGUCUAAUAAUUUAUAUGAAAAAUCUGGAACCAACCUUGUCAGCUGCUGGAUUUUUCGAUAUAAACCUAGAACUAUUUUCUACGUAUAUUUCGACAGUUUUUGCUUAUUUAAUAAUUGUUUUACAGUUCAA